GUGGGUGGGAAGGGGAGAGAGACAGACAGAGAGAGAGAGAGGCAGAGAGAGAGAGAGAGAGAGAGAGAGAGAGAGAGAGAGAGAGAGAGAGAGAGAGAGAGAGAGAGAGAAACAGAGAGAGACACAGAGACAGAGACAGAGAGGAAAGGUAGGGAGGAAGGAAGGAAGGAAGAAAAAGCCAACUCAGUCCCAUUCAGCUGCCUUCCCAUUCAGUCUAGGGUGGCAGGGAAUUUGUGAAUCUAGCUAAUAGCAACAUUCCUGGAAAACUGGCCCAUCGCUGAGCUUUCUUGUGAACUUCAUCCACCUGUCAUGUUGAGUCUUGGAGGAGAGCCAGGGCAGGCAGGAAAUAAUAGGCUGCAGGAUACUGGUGUGUGUCAGUGGCCCCGACCCUCCCAUUCCUGAACACAGAUGAGCUGGAAGUCUGGAAGACGUCACCGCUGCUGUGGGUGUGCAAGUGCCUUAUGGAGGCCAGAAGAGGGCACCGAGGCUCCCGAAGCUGGAAUUACACAGGGAUGCUAGAUGAAAACUGAACUCAGAUCCUCUGGAAAAAGCGGUAAACACUCAUGGAGUCAUACCUCGAGAUCUUCCCUUGCUAAAUUUUACGUCUCCCCAUUUGACUUCAAGUGGUGUGGUGUCUUCAACGACCAAGUCUUAUCAUCUGAUCAUGGUGUGCAACCAAGAAUGAGAAAAGCUGGCAUUGUUUUGAAGUGCCUUUCAGGACUCUUCAACCAACAAUUCCUAUGGAGGUGCCACAGAUAAAAAGAGUAAGUGUGAAACGGAGAAAAACAAAACAACAACAAACAAACAAACAAACCGUAAAGGCGAGAGCAUUGUGGUCAAUGAAAGAUUGAAUAGCAGUCUAUUUCUUUGAUUCCCCCCAACCCCCAAGCUUAGAGUCCAUGCCUUGGAAGAAAAACUCUAUGGCUGGGAACUUGGUCAAAAUGCAGCAUCUGCCAAAUCAAUAAUUAUUUCCUUUGGUGUGUGUGGGGGGGGGGGGGGGAGGGGGACCUGUCUUUUUUGUUGUUGUUGAGUGGUUGAGGCUCAUCUGGAAGGACUCUUGUUUAUCUUUGGUAGCUGGGAGUGGAGAGGGCCUGGGAGCAACUGGAGCUGCAGAGGAGAGAAGGUUACUGGAAGGGGUGUCAGACGUUGUGAAAGGGAAGCUGAACCGCAGAGUGUGGUGCAAUGAUGCCGGCAACCCGAGCUGAGCUGAGUUAGGAGCCCAGGCGUGGUGCGGCUCACAGGAUUGUGUGUAGCCUGCUAUUUCCACACACUGUAGUAAAGUGGCACACGGAGGAGGAGUCGCUCCAGGGCAGGGCGAGUUCACAGAUGCUUUGAAGAGUAAACCCAAACAGGUUGGAUGACAGCAGCAGUAGUAGUAGCAGCAGGAGCAGCAGGAGCAGCAGGAGCAGCAGCAGCAGCAGCAGCAGCAGCAGCAGCAGCAGCAGCAGCAGCAGGAGGAGGAGGAUGUGGUUCAAAUGGCAGUGAGGGGAAGAAGGGAAUGUAACGGAGGGGCUGCCAGACGUCGCUUUCUUCACAGAUAACACUCUGUACACGUUCGGAUCCAAGGAUAUUGCUCUCAGUGAACUCAGUUUCUAUUAUAUAGCAAAAAUCUUGUGCCUAGGGAUCAUUAAAGACUUCAAAAGGAGGACAGUUAUGUCUACUGUCUUUCCACAUUCCUGACAUUCAAGGCAGGUCACAUACUAGAAAAUCUGUAUAUUUGAUAGUACUACAUGUCACGGUUAUGAUAAUAACAAUAACACGAU
rnacentral:lncRNA from 1 species